GUUCUCUUCGGCAGUACAUAUACUAAAAUUGGAACGAUACAGAGAAAAUUAGCAUGGCUCCUUCACAAGGAUGAUGCACAAAUUUGUGAAGCAUUUCAUAUGUUA